rnacentral:rRNA from 1 species
GAUGAACGCUGGCGGCGUGCCUAAUACAUGCAAGUCGAGCGAACGGACGAGAAGCUUGCUUUUCUGAUGUUAGCGGCGGACGGGUGAGUAACACGUGGAUAACCUACCUAUAAGACUGGGAUAACUUCGGGAAACCGGAGCUAAUACCGGAUAAUAUUUUGAACCGCAUGGUUCAAAAGUGAAAGACGGUCUUGCUGUCUCAUAUAGAUGGAUCCGCGCUGCAUUAGCUAGUUGGUAAGGUAACGGCUUACCAAGGCAACGAUGCAUAGCCGACCUGAGAGGGUGAUCGGCCACACUGGAACUGAGACACGGUCCAGACUCCUACGGGAGGCAGCAGUAGGGAAUAUUCCGCAAUGGGCGAAAGCCUGACGGAGCAACGCCGCGUGAGUGAUGAAGGUCUUCGGAUCGUAAAACUCUGUUAUUAGGGAAGAACAUAUGUGUAAGUAACUGUGCACAUCUUGACGGUACCUAAUCAGAAAGCCACGGCUAACUACGUG